rnacentral:rRNA from 1 species
AACGAACGCUGGCGGCAUGCCUAACACAUGCAAGUCGAACGAGACCUUCGGGUCUAGUGGCGCACGGGUGCGUAACGCGUGGGAAUCUGCCCUUGGGUUCGGAAUAACAGUUAGAAAUGACUGCUAAUACCGGAUAAUGUCUUCGGACCAAAGAUUUAUCGCCCAGGGAUGAGCCCGCGUAGGAUUAGCUAGUUGGUGAGGUAAAGGCUCACCAAGGCGACGAUCCAUAGCUGGUCUGAGAGGAUGAUCAGCCACACUGGGACUGAGACACGGCCCAGACUCCUACGGGAGGCAGCAGUGGGGAAUAUUGGACAAUGGGCGAAAGCCUGAUCCAGCAAUGCCGCGUGAGUGAUGAAGGCCUUAGGGUUGUAAAGCUCUUUUACCCGUAGAUGAUAAUGACAGUAUCGGAGAUAAGCCCCGGCGUAACCUUCGGUGCCAGCAGCCGC